UUGGCAGGUAUGUAAUUCUACGUUAGGUUUUACCUAGAUCAAAGCUGAAGUUUAGCUUAAAAAUAUUCAUACCUAAAAAAAUAGUCAACCUAAAAGGUCACAUUACGGCUUCUUUCAGGAAAACGCGCGUUUUCAACGGUUGAGUGUGGGUUGGUGAAGAGGCAGUGAAUCCUGCUGGGUAUUUUUCAGCGGCCUGAAAGCGAUCGCAGGCUGUGGGCGGAUGCGAUAGGCCUGUGGCUGAGCGACGGGGGCACUGCUCGGAGCGACAGGAAGACGAGUCUGAGGGCUCCACCCUGAGGAAGUGGAACGGCGGUGCGAUCUAGCCGCCCAGACACCGACGCGGCAUGACUGAGCUGUGGAUCUGCUUCACCUGCUGCAUCGCAGAGCAGCCCCAGCCGAAGAGGAGACGGCGAAUAGACCGCUCCAUGAUCGGAGAGCCCACAAAUUUUGUCCACACAACCCACGUGGGCUCAGGAGACAUGGCGAUGGGAGUGAGGGCUGCAGGUCCUGCAGGAACCAGCCAGGUGGACAGUCUGCAGGACAAGAUGAAGUCUAAAGGUGGCUAUGGAAACGGAGCGACUGAGAAUGCCCCACAGUGACCAGCUGAGAGGUGCGACUGCGCACAUUCGCUCUGUCAGACUUGGUGAAGCUGGCUGCAUUUUCUGAAACCUGCGUGUAAUGCACUCCUGUCUGCUCCUCAGAAGAUACAUAUUUUAAGUAGAUAUUUUAUUAAGAGGCAAACAAACAUUCAGUGCACAUAACAUAUAAUAUAAUGUAUAAAUUUGUGAUAUUGAAUAUGUAAAUAAUUCCAUAGGUAAAGCACAGUUGUACCUCAAUUCAUAUGUUGGCUACAGAUGUGAUAUCAACACAACACGACAAAUCAGACCGAGUGUAUAAGUGGUAUGUAUUAACGAACGUGUGAUGGUGUCAUGAAAGGCCAGUAUGGUUGUGUGUGAGAAGAUCUCGGUCCCAGCCCGGAUUUAGCUGUUGUACAGGUUCACUCUGGGACACCUUUAUCUUUAAAGAAUGUGAUUGUCACGUGGUGGCAGUGCCACUUCUGAUUUUGUGGGAUGAUUUUUGUGAAGCAGUUUUGGGGAAAAAAGAAAUGUUUGAACAGAUUUUUAAAAGCUUUUUUUUUUACCAAAUAGACAUGUGCCCCAUUAUGUUUUCCGGAAUCACCUCUCUUGCUGUCACAGGUCUCAGGCUUGCUUUACGUCUUUGUCUUACUCAGUGUACUUUUUCUCCCAGUAAACUUGAAAAUUGUUCAACACACUGUAAUGUCAGGAUGAAAUGUAUUUUCAGGCACUGUAGUACCCAAAAUUUGACUGGAUUUCUGUAUAUUUUGUUCUUGUGGGGAUAUUUCACGGUUUUCUUUCAGAAUAAAAUUAUUUUCCAAGAUGUAAUAAAA